rnacentral:rRNA from 1 species
CCUACGGGUGGCUGCAGUAGGGAAUCUUCCACAAUGGGCGAAAGCCUGAUGGAGCAACGCCGCGUGGGUGAAGAAGGUCUUCGGAUCGUAAAACCCUGUUGUUAGAGAAGAAAGUGCGGGAGAGUAACUGUUCACGUGUCGACGGUAUCUAACCAGAAAGCCAAGGCUAACUACGGGCCAGCAGCCGCGGUAAUACGUAGGUGGCAAGCGUUAGCCGGAUUUAUUGGGCGUAAAGGGAACGCAGGCGGUCUUUUAAGUCUGAUGUGAAAGCCUUCGGCUUAACCGGAGUAGUGCAUUGGAAACUUGGAGCCUUGCGUGCAGCAGCGGAGAGUGCCACUCCAUGUGUAGC